CAGGAGAGAGGCUCAGGCCAAGGUGAAGAAGGGGAUGCUGGGGAGGGAUGCAGAUUAAAUUGCACUCUCCUUGGCUUGGGAAAGAAACAGCCAACAGAUUUGAAAGCUGGAGAUGAUGCAAAGAAGCCAAGGAGAAACAUGAAAACUCAAAUGUGCCCUGAACCAGUCUCAACCCCCAAGUCAAGGAAUGGAAAGUUCCUUAAGUCGUUUUCCUUUUGCAUCUCUGGCUGAAAUCCAGUAACACCUGACAGCGGUGGAGAGGGGUAUCCUAAUAGCUGAUUGGCCGAGGGAAGGAUCCAGAAGGAGGCCGCGGCCUUCCAGUGCACCCAGGCCCAGGCUUGAUUCAGCGGCAGUUUUCCAGCUCCUACCGGCACCAGAGGAGGGAACUCCUGACCCGCGGACCCACCCGCGAAGCAAGCCUUGACGUCUCCCGGAAUUUACAGCUCCUCUCCCUCCCCGCUGGGCUUCCCCAGGCAGCACGCACCCAGGCUCUUCUUUUGGAGGCUGACGCCUAGGGCAAACUGCAGGGGUCUGCACAACUCCCCGGGGCUUCCCGCAGAAGCUGAUU